AAUAUUUGACAAUGGGGGCAACCCUGAUCCAGCCAUGUCGCGUGUGUGAAGAAGGUCUUCGGAUUGUAAAGCUCUUUAAGUUGGGAGGAAGGGCUUUAGGUUAAUACCCUGAAGUUUUGACGUUACUAACAGAAUAAUCACCGGCUUCCUCUGUGCCAGCAGCCGCGGUAAUACAGAGGGUGCAAGCGUUAAUCGGAAUUACUGGGCGUAAAGCGCGCGUAGGUGGUUCAGUAAGAUGGGUGUGAAAACCCCGGGCUUAACCUGGGAACUGCUUUCAUAACUGCUGAGCUAGAGUACGGUAGAGGGUAGUGGAGUAUCCUGUGUAGCGGUGAAAUGCGUAGAUAUAGGAAGGAACACCAGUGGCGAAGACGACUACCUGGACUGAUACUGACACUGAGAUGCGAAAGCGUGGGGAGCAAACAG
rnacentral:rRNA from 1 species